rnacentral:rRNA from 1 species
AUGUCGGUGGGUAACAAGGAAAUUCUCAUCAAGGCGGUCGCGCAGGCCAUUCCUACGUAUGUCAUGAGCGUCUUCAAAUUGCCGGCCUCGGUAUGUGAUGAGUUGACACGGAUGAUGAGACAGUACUGGUGGGGGGUGGAGAAAGGAAAGAGGAAGAUGGCAUGGCUAAGCUGGGAAAAAAUGAUGUUGCCAAAGGCUAUGGGUGGCAUGGGCUUCCGUGACAUGCGAGCUUUCAACCAGGCCCUGCUUGCAAAGCAGGCUUGGCGUUUGCUGGAUUUCCCCCAAAGUUUAUGCGCGAGAUUACUCAGAGCUAAAUAUUUCCCCCACAGAAAUCUCUUAGACAUGGUAUUCCCUGCUAAUUCGUCUGCUGUAUGGAAAGGAAUUGUCCAUGGACUUGAGCUUGUGAAGAAAGGGAUCAUUUGGCGUAUUUUAUUGACGAACAUGGUGCUUGGAAGGAGCAGCUCUUAA